rnacentral:rRNA from 1 species
GAUGAACGCUGGCGGCGUGCCUAAUACAUGCAAGUCGAGCGAACAGACGAGGAGCUUGCUCCUCUGACGUUAGCGGCGGACGGGUGAGUAACACGUGGAUAACCUACCUAUAAGACUGGGAUAACUUCGGGAAACCGGAGCUAAUACCGGAUAAUAUAUUGAACCGCAUGGUUCAAUAGUGAAAGACGGUUUUGCUGUCACUUAUAGAUGGAUCCGCGCCGCAUUAGAUAGUUGGUAAGGUAACGGCUUACCAAGGCAACGAUGCGUAGCCGACCUGAGAGGGUGAUCGGCCACACUGGAAGUGAGACACGGUCCAGACUCCUACGGGAGGCAGCAGUAGGGAAUCUUCCGCAAUGGGCGAAAGCCUGACGGAGCAACGCCGCGUGAGUGAUGAAGGUCUUCGGAUCGUAAAACUCUGUUAUUAGGGAAGAACAAAUGUGUAAGUAAAUAUGCACGUCUUGACGGUACCUAAUCAGAAAGCCCCGGCUAACUACGUG